GUAGGGAUGAUUAAAUUAAGGCUUUUUUCUCAAAACAUUUGCAGUUACGGCCUAAGAGCUUUCGCCCAGCCAGGCUUGAGAGCUAAUGCUAUCAGAUCCUUCCUCGGAUGUCUGAGGGC
rfam:Triticum aestivum genome assembly, contig: Triticum_aestivum_CS42_TGACv1_scaffold_542951_6DS